CCUCCUUUAAAGAAGCAAGACGUGACGGCGUAUGAAGCGUCCUCACAAUCUGUCUGGUCGCAAUGUUGGGAAACCGCGGGUCUGUAGCUCAGUUGGUUAGAGCGCACCCCUGAUAAGGGUGAGGUCGGAAGUUCAACUCUUCCCAGACCCACCACUUCUAAAGUUGUCUGGAAGUUGUCACAGGGGGCCAUAGCUCAGCCGGGAGAGCGCCUGCUUUGCAAGCAGGAGGUCGGCGGUUCGAUCCCGCCUGGCUCCACCAGGUGAUAAUCCACAGCGAUCCUUAGGUGCGUUGUGGAUUAUUCCUUGGCACCAAGCUCAGGAAAUGUUCUUUAACAAUUAGGCAGUGAUAUACGACGGUGAAGCCAGGUCGUAGUAAUCGAUCGGGCUUUACUGGGUAUACCAGCAUUUUUAUUGAAGUAAUUUAUUGGUGUAAUUCCCAAGAAAAGCAGUCUUCUUGGGGUUAUAUGAUCAAGCGACCAAGCGCACAUGGUGGAUGCCUUGGCGGCAAGAGGCGAUUAAGGACA
rnacentral:tRNA from 1 species